CCUACGGGAGGCAGCAGUGAGGAAUAUUGGUCAAUGGACGAGAGUCUGAACCAGCCAAGUAGCGUGAAGGAUGACUGCCCUAUGGGUUGUAAACUUCUUUUAUAUGGGAAUAAAAUGUUCCACGUGUGGGAUUUUGUAUGUACCAUAUGAAUAAGGAUCGGCUAACUCCGUGCCAGCAGCCGCGGUAAUACGGAGGAUCCGAGCGUUAUCUGGAUUUAGUGGGUUUAAAGGGAGCGUAGGUGGAUUGUUAAGUCAGUUGUGAAAGUUUGGGGCUCAACCGUAGAAUUGCAGUUGAAACUGGCAAUCUUGAGUGCAGUAGAGGUGAGCGGAAUUCGUGGUGUAGCGGUGAAAUGCUUAGAUAUCGCGAAGAACACCGAUGGCGAAGGCAGCUAACUGGACUGCAACUGACACUGAGGCUCGAAAGUGUGGGUAUCAAACAGGAUUAGAUACCCGUGUAGUC
rnacentral:rRNA from 1 species